UACAGAGGGGGCAAGCGUUGUUCGGAAUUACUGGGCGUAAAGGGCGCGUAGGCGGCCCGCUAAGUCGAACGUGAAAUCCCCGGGCUCGACCCGGGAACUGCGUCCGAUACUGGCGGGCUUGAAUCCGGGAGAGGGAUGCGGAAUUCCAGGUGUAGCGGUGAAAUGCGUAGAUAUCUGGAGGAACACCGGUGGCGAAGGCGGCAUCCUGGACCGGCAUUGACGCUGAGGCGCGAAAGCCAGGGGAGCAAACGGG
rnacentral:rRNA from 1 species